rnacentral:rRNA from 1 species
GAUGAACGCUGGCGGCGUGCCUAAUACAUGCAAGUAGAACGCUGAAGGAGGAGCUUGCUCUUCUGGAUGAGUUGCGAACGGGUGAGUAACGCGUAGGUAACCUGCCUGGUAGCGGGGGAUAACUAUUGGAAACGAUAGCUAAUACCGCAUGACAACAGUUAUUGCAUGAUAACUGUUUAAAAGGGGCAACUGCUCCACUACCAGAUGGACCUGCGUUGUAUUAGCUAGUUGGUGAGGUAACGGCUCACCAAGGCGACGAUACAUAGCCGACCUGAGAGGGUGAUCGGCCACACUGGGACUGAGACACGGCCCAGACUCCUACGGGAGGCAGCAGUAGGGAAUCUUCGACAAUGGACGGAAGUCUGACCGAGCAACGCCGCGUGAGUGAAGAAGGUUUUCGGAUCGUAAAGCUCUGUUGUAAGAGAAGAACGAGUGUGAGAGUGGAAAGUUCACACUGUGACGGUAUCUUACCAGAAAGGGACGGCUAACUACGUG